rnacentral:lncRNA from 1 species
UUAAAAUUAAGCUGCAAUAACUGAAGGAAACAAGUUUCAAAAGAAAAUAUCUAACUUAAAAGUUAAAACACAAUCUAUGAGUGAACAUUCGAGGUAAUAUUUAUGAGGUAGCACAAGUAUUUAUGAGAUAGCACAAGUAUUUAUAUGGUAAUGUUGUCAAAGCUAAUUCUUGAUGCUAUUCAUUUUUCAGGUAAAAUGUUCAAGUGCGUUAGACAGUUGCAGCUAAAAGUCAUGGAUUACAUAAGAAAUAUUUGUAACAUAUAUGGAUUUAAUGUGAAACAUAGAUGGAUUAUGUGCGAAACAUGUACAACACAUAUAGAUUUAAUGUGAAACAUAUAUGGAUUACGUGUGAAACAUUUGUAACACAUGUGGAUUUAUUAACAUACAUGUACUAGAAUUAUUGUAAAACAAUUAUAAAAACUAUGGAUCUAAACACAAAAUACUGAACUGUUGUAAAAUAACUAACUGCUUAGAGGUAUCUGUAUACAAACAUUUUUAAGACAUGGAUUAAAUGUGAAAAUGACCACAGGGAUUAAUUGUGAACUACUUUAAAUAUGAAAUUUCAUGUGAAACACAAAAACGAGUUUAUAUGUUACAAUAUUAAGCAUUACUCACAACCUCUGGAAAUAUUAAUACCUGACAUUUGGGAAAUUGUUUGUACACAUUUUAAUGCAAUGGUUUUGCAGUAAAAUUUUGUAUGUCAUAAACUCAAAAUUGGAAAACAUUUUAACACCUGGAUUUAGUAUGAAAACAUUUGUAACACAUGGAUUUAUCAUGUAAAUAAAAUCAUAGUGAUUUGGAAUGUGUAUUACUAUCAUUUUGAAUUCUAUGCUAAUGUAUGUUUUUUAUGUAUUUUAUGUAUCAGACUGAAUAAAAUUUACACUUAUAUCAACAUCAGUUGUAGUCAUCUCAACCAUGUUUAAAGAUACCCUCAAAACUUGAACAAUGAUGCAAGAACAAUAAGCAAAAACAGGUGUUUAACAUAAAGAAUACUUUUAAAUGCAACACUCAAAGAAGUAAUAAUGCUCAACUGAGAAUAUUACAAUGUCUAAUGAAGCAAUCUAGACUGUAGUCUAGUUGGGUAUCUGUGAACUGGUGCUACUGCACUUGUGUUAGUACUAGUGUCUAUCAUAGAAAUCUCUGACAGUCUAGUGCUGCUCAUGGCUGGAUCCGAUACUCUCCUCACAAGGGGUGCUGUAGAUGUAACAGUAGAUGACGUAAUUUCUGCUGUAAUACGAUCUAGUCUGAUUUCAAGUCGUUUCAACCGUAUGAUUCUUUUUUUGUGCAUAAUGAAAAGUAUCACAAUCACAAUGAUACAGAAUCCUGUGCUGAAUGAUAGGGCGUAAACUGCAAGGAUAAGAAUAUACUGCAAGGAUAGUAUAUAGGAGACAAUUUUAACAUAACUGCGAAUCUUAAAUAUUGCAUCUUCAAUUAUAAUGCAGUAGUGGUAGGUCUAUAUACCGGUUCAUAAUGGUCAAAAGUUGAAUCCCAACUCAUCUGACUUUCAUUUGUUUGAGAUAUCUGAGAAUGACGAUUCAUUGUUUGCAUAGGAUGCAUAUAACCAUCAUCAUCUAUGUUAGACUCAGUUAAAAUGUUUUUCUUAAGCACUAUUGGAUAUUCUAACCUAUACAAUCUUGAUUUUACAUUAACUGUUUUUCUUUUAAAAUAUAUGCAGAUAAGCAAAGUGAAGAGCAAGCAACAUAUGCAUAAACAGUAUAAAAUAAUAUAAUGGGGAAAUGGUGCAACAGUCAUAUAUGAUGACUGGUAAGUUUCAGUGAAGGGGUUAAUAACAGAAUAUAAUUUUACAGACUAGGAAUUGUAUGCUGAAAUAUCAAAAGAAAACAUUAAAUCACAUACCUACUAAUUAGUUAUAUCUAUAUAUUCUAUAAAUAUAUUAUUAUGCAGAACAGAACAGAAUAGAAAUUUUAUAUAGCAACACUAGUUUUUGUUUAUUAACCCUUAGCCUGCUGCAGGCGAAUUUAACAGCCUUUGCAAUUUUAGCAGACGACAUUUCCAGCAGACGACAGUUUAUCUAGCAGGCAAAGGGUUAAUGUAGAUUGUGUUAAUAAAUGCAUAUAAUAAAUGCUUCUCACCAGUAGUCAGAAUAGUGCUUUUCACGGUCGGGUUGGUUGUGCUGUCUGCAGGUGUGAGUGUGGGUGUUACGCUCACAGUCUGUCGCCUAACAGAAGCCUCAGCUAAAAACAAGAGGAAAACAAAACAAAUUAUUAUAUAAAAUUUAUGUGGAUGUUUUUGUGAACAUGAAAUGUUUAAGAUAAAUUUCACUUCAAACCAAAAAAGAUGUAGGAACGAGAAUAUAAGCGGGAUGCCAAUAUAAGCUCCAACGUGAUUUUUCUUAACCUUUUUCUAACCUAUAAAUGGUUGCAUAUAAUACACUUGGAGGUUUUGCGUAAUAUAAAAAAUAUAAAUGCUUCUCACCAGUAGUCAGAAUAGCACUUUUCACGGUCGGGUUGGUUGUACUGUCUGCAGGUGUGGGUGGGUGUUACGCUCACAGUCUGUCGCCUAACAGAAGCCUCAGCUAAGAACAAGAGGAAAACAAAACAAAUUAUUAUAUAAAAUUUAUGCGGUUGUUUUUGUGAUCAUGAAAUGUUUAAAAUAAAUGUCAUUUCAAACCAAAAAGAUGUAGGAACGAGAAUAUAAGCCGGAUGCCAAUAUAAGCUCCAACGUGAUUUUUCUCAACCUAUUUCUAACCUAUACAUGGUUGCAAAUAAUACUCUUGGAGGUUGUGCGUAAUAUAAAAAAUAUAAAUGCUUCUCACCAGUAGUCAGAAUAGCGCUUUUCACGGUCGGUUUGGUUGUGCUAUCUGCAGGUGUGGGUGUUACGUUCACAGUCCUUUUGGAGGUGUUGCCAAGACAACAGAGUUUCGUUUUAUGCGAAGAUUCUACAAUUACUUCCCUCAAUGGUGUAUAGCAUAUGAGCACAUCACACAUUCUUUCUUCGGGUAGAUCUAUAUUAUCAAUCUGUACAUAUAGUAGAUUUGCUGUGUUUCGCAUAUCCAAUGUCGAAUUUGGGAAUCUCGGUGUAAUAUGAACUUUUUGAACAUCAUUCGCCUCACUUGCGAAGAAGUACAUGCCUUGCUCAUUAAAGACAAUCUUGCAAAAACCAUCAUGACAGUCUCGAACCUCCUCCUUCCAUGCUGAUAUGCUUGACAAACACAACAGAAAUGCAAUAAAUGCGUACAUUUUCUCUAAAGAGGUGUUUUUUUCCCGCUAAAAGUAGCAAACUCAUUUAUGAAGAGUCUUUGAAUUAAGGGAGGUAAUCAAUGUACAUUACUAAAUGCCAGUUCCCGUAUCCGUGUUUGUCCGGUAAUAGGUUAAGGUAUACUAAUUUUUAGUGACUCCUCUUCGGGCCGACCAGUAGAACUAUGUAUUUACUGCAGUUCUGUUAUCAAAAAAAUCUGGAAAAAGAGUCCCUUGGGAACAAUUAAUACAACCAAAGUUCAUAAUAGCAGACCCGGUUUGAUUGGGUCUGUUCAUGAGAAGUACUGAAAAUGCGACACUUCUCACGCCCCCUAGCACCGGCUUAAGCGGUAUUCUAUUAUACAUCCAGUGGAUGGACCACUUAAUCCCAAUGGACCAGAAAUAUAACAACACUGAAUCCAAGUACGGGGAGACUUUUUACAGCCACCACACGGCACUUAAAGACUGCUGUUGUGAUUGUAAUAAAAUCUGGAAAAAGAGUCCCCUGGGAACAAUUAAUACAACCAAUAAAAUAGAAAGUUAAAUGGUAUAUUUCCUGUCUUUCAAAAGGUCCUUUCAGACAUUAUGUCUCUCCCAAAACCGCGAGAAUGUGGUAACACGUAGGUGUACACAGAAAUCAAACCUAUUCAUCACUUUUUAUCUGAUUUUGAAUGACAAGUUAAAUAAUGAAUAUCCUGUCUUCAAAGGCCUUUCUUUGUACCACCCACGAAAACCGCAAGAAUGUACUGACACACACUUUACAUAGGUGUACACAGAAAACAAACCUAUUCAUCACGUUUUAUCUUAUUUUAAAUGACAAGUCCAAUUACAUAUUUCCUGUCUUUUUAAACAUAGUGGUGUCACCUAAACCGCAAACAUGUGCUGACACAUAGUUGUACCUAAUAAACAAACACAUCCAUCACUUUUUAUCUGAUCGAAAUGACAAGUUAUACAAUUAAUUCCCCGUCUUCGCCUUGGAAACCGCAAAUAUGGUUAAUUUGCAGGUGUGUCGAGAAAAAGAGGCUCAUUUAUCAACGUCUUAUCUGAUCAAAAUGAUAAGUUUGAUGACACGUUUCCUGUCUUCAAAAGGUUUUGUUCAGACAUAAGGUCGCCUUAUUGACAUCACUUUAACCGCAGGAAUGCGCUGACAGAGCAGGUGUGUCGAGUAAACAAGCUCAUUUUUCAACAUUUAUCUGAUCGAAAUGACAAGUUUAAUGACACGUUUCCUGUCUUCAAAACAAAUUUUUAGACAUCAUGUCGCCUUAAAAACCACAAAGUUAAUAGGGUGUAAAGCAACGCCUUGUGGAACUCCUCUAUAUAAAUGAAGCGAAUUUUCAGUCACUAUCGACAUUUAUGAUUUUACUCUCAACAGUAACUUUAUAAAAUGGAAGCAAAAUACGAUCAAGAAGGAUUUUUAUCAAAAGUUCGCGGUAGGUUUGGUUUUAGAAAAGAUGUUGCUUUAUCUAAAUGGAACGGUAAUGCCUAUGUGCAUAUCAGUGACAAUUAUAAUUGUUGGGAGACUGAUACGUUUGAUAAAACAAAAUCAAAAUCUGUAACCAUAAAAUGGAAAGACGCUAUAAAACUGAAGGAAUGCCUCGGCGAACUUGAGCCGUAUGCGGCUCGAAUUGAAGCUGAAUUACAAGCUGGACUAUCUUAUGAACAACAACAGGCUGCGAUAAACGAACCUUUUGAAGCUCAGACAGCUGGUCCUUCGCAAGCAAUUAACAGUCAAAACCUGAUGCCGGUAAACACACAGUUACCAGUUCAGACUCAAGUGGUGGGAAGUGCGCAGUAUUUACCACCUAGUUGUCAACAAGGAAUACCCGCCACAUCGACGGAAAAAAUCAUAUACCAACGACAAGGAAAUCGAUAUCAACCGUAUUAGAUUCUGUGAAGUGAAGACAAUUUGAUCAUAAGCAAGCCUCUGAAUCAUACUCAAAUGAAUAUGUCUGAGUAUAAAGUUAAAGUUUUUCAACAAACAGUUAUGAAACUUUUACAAGAAAUAGAUUCAAAAAAGGAAGAGUAUAACGAACUACAAUUAAAAUUUAACACUUUAGAUAAAGAAUUUGCGGAUUUGCUUAUAAACAUGUCAACUUUGAAACUACAUAUUGCCGAUUUAGAACGUAAAUUUGAGGAUCUUUUCUCGGAGUAGAUUUUCUUUUAAAAAUUUAUUCAUAAGUUAUGACAACAGACAUAUAAAUACUAUUAAGAAAUGGCUAUGUUUGACUCAUUUUGGAUCGAUGAUACAAGAAGACAACCUUGGGCGGAUGAUGAAAUAAUCGCGCUAUCAUAUUUAGUUUAUUGGACUACUACUUAUUUAGAUGUACGAGCUAGACAUUUACUCGCGUUGGCUUACCACAGCAGAACUCAUUUAUCUCAUCGCUGGUGGAGCGAUUUGUGUGAAUUUAUCCCUGCUUUAGUCGAAUACAAUGCUUUAGAAGAUUUGUUAAGAAAUGAAUAAAUAUCUCGAACAUGA